rnacentral:rRNA from 1 species
GACGAACGCUGGCGGCGUGCCUAAUACAUGCAAGUUGAGCGCUGAAGGUUGGUACUUGUACCAACUGGAUGAGCAGCGAACGGGUGAGUAACGCGUGGGGAAUCUGCCUUUGAGCGGGGGACAACAUUUGGAAACAAAUGCUAAUACCGCAUAAAAACUUUAAACACAAGUUUUAAGUUUGAAAGAUGCAAUUGCAUCACUCAAAGAUGAUCCCGCGUUGUAUUAGCUAGUUGGUGAGGUAAAGGCUCACCAAGGCGAUGAUACAUAGCCGACCUGAGAGGGUGAUCGGCCACAUUGGGACUGAGACACGGCCCAAACUCCUACGGGAGGCAGCAGUAGGGAAUCUUCGGCAAUGGACGAAAGUCUGACCGAGCAACGCCGCGUGAGGGAAGAAGGUUUUCGGAUCGUAAAACUCUGUUGGUAGAGAAGAACGUUGGUGAGAGUGGAAAGCUCAUCAAGUGACGGUAACUACCCAGAAAGGGACGGCUAACUACGUG